AGGCCUAACACAUGCAAGUCGGACGAGAAGGUUCCUUCGGGAACUGGAGAGUGGCGCACGGGUGAGUAACGCGUGGGGACCUACCUCUUAGUGGGGGAUAACGGUUGGAAACGACCGCUAUUACCGCAUACGCCCUUCGGGGGAAAGAUUUAUCGCUAAGAGAUGGACCCGCGUUGGAUUAGAUAGUUGGUGAGGUAACGGCUCACCAAGUCAGCGAUCCAUAGCUGGUUUGAGAGGAUGAUCAGCCACACUGGGACUGAGACACGGCCCAGACUCCUACGGGAGGCAGCAGUGGGGAAUAUUGGACAAUGGGGGCAACCCUGAUCCAGCCAUGCCGCGUGAGUGAAGAAGGCCU
rnacentral:rRNA from 1 species